AAGAAAGGAAAGAGAAAGUCCAACCACUACGGCAAUACUUUUAAGCUCUACUAAAUGAUCGUAUCCUUUCUGGCUUCGAAACUUUUGUACCUAAAAAUCGAGAGAGGCGCUGCAUUUUUUCAGUUGAAACUGUCAAAACUUGGAGAAGGGGGACCUCGGAGGCAGGCAGGAGAGGAGGAGAAUCCUGAAAACUCGGUGGAGGUUGGGAAGAUGCUGUGCCUCGAGGAUUAGUUUAAACAGGGGGCUAUAAAAGAUGUAACAGAUGCAAACUGUAACACAAGGGCCAUUAACCCUUUCUCUGCCGGGCACACUCAGUCCCCACGCCCCACACCUAUUGUCUCCUGUGCUAGAAGCUUUGCAGAAAACCUGGAAAACUCACAUCCCCACUCAAAAUGAGAAAAUUAGAAAAGGAGGAUGGAGGACGAGCACACCAAAAAGGGAUAAAAAGAGAGAAAAGGGGAGGAAAAAAAACCUACCUGCGAAGUCUUGUUUGUAGUUUUGGCCAGAAAUGGUGAGAAGAAAAAGCAUGAAGAAGCCGCGAAGUGUGGGGGAGAAAAAGGUGGAAGCGAAGAAACAGCUCCCGGAGCAAACUGUACAAAAACCUCGCCAAGAGUGUCGGGAGGCAGGACCGUUAUUCCUGCAGAGCAGGAGAGAGACGAGAGACCCUGAAACACGCGCCACCUAUCUUUGUGGGGAGGGAUAAUUGAAGCGCCCUGAGCGUGAGCAUCAUGUGAAAACGUGAUCGCCAAGUUUCUCUCUGGGAAAGGAUCUGGGAUAGAUUAUACCUUGAAGUCUCCGCAAACGCUU
rnacentral:lncRNA from 1 species